GACGAACGCUGGCGGCGUGCUUAACACAUGCAAGUCGAACGGAAAGGCCCUGCUUUUGUGGGGUGCUCGAGUGGCGAACGGGUGAGUAACACGUGAGUAACCUGCCCUUGACUUUGGGAUAACUUCAGGAAACUGUGGCUAAUACCGGAUAGGAUCUCCUGCUGCAUGGUGUGGUUUGGAAAGUUUCGGCGGUUGGGGAUGUACUCGCGGCUUAUCAGCUUGUUGGUGGGGUAGUGGCUUACCAAGGCUUUGACGGGUAGCCGGCCUGAGAGGGUGACCGGCCACAUUGGGACUGAGAUACGGCCCAGACUCCUACGGGAGGCAGCAGUGGGGAAUAUUGCACAAUGGGCGGAAGCCUGAUGCAGCAACGCCGCGUGCGGGAUGACGGCCUUCGGGUUGUAAACCGCUUUCGCCUGUGACGAAGCGUGAGUGACGGUAAUGGGUAAAGAAGCACCGGCUAACUACGUG
rnacentral:rRNA from 1 species